UUCCACGUCAGGUACCGUUCUGUCAGACUGCCCCUCUGCUGCCAUCUGCUGCAUGACUACAGAAUGUAAUGGAAAUACUGCGGAGAAGGCUCAGCCCCAGUUUGGGUCACUGGUGAGACGUGCAAGCCACAACAAUAAGUGGCUCAGUGGCUUCUUGCUGGGGUCAUGGUGUUUAUAAUUUAUUUACACCCAACUAACACACACAGCUGAAUUCCAAAUUAAUUUAUCUUCACUGAUAACAGCAUAAAAUUACACUUUAUUACUAGUAGCCCUUCAGCCCAGAUGAGAGACCCUUAUGAAAGUGUGCAAAGCCCUUCUUUGUUCUAAAUCAAAGUGCAUGGAGUCCGUAUAUAUUGACUGCUCGCCUGUUUUGUUUAUUUUGAAGCAAAUUUAAUGCAUGUAGGAACUGAGGUUUAAAAUCUUCACUACUUCUGAGGACUCCUGUAGUCUCCAAAUGGAUGAUUUAGUUGGAGACCUGAUCAUGGAAGGCAGAUUGGACAAGGUCUGGCCAGUCCCCUAUUUCCCCCCCCUCAAACCAACUGCUCUGUAUGAAUGUAAGUGGAGGUACCGCUGCUUGCUGUGAGGUUUUGAAAGUCCUGAUAUAUCAAAACGCUCAAUAACUGCUCUAUUUUAAGCACGUUUUUGGAUUACUUGAUUUUCUUUGGAACGGAGAAAUUGUAAUGCAGAAAGGUGACCCAUCCUGGUUGAGGGGAUGAUGUUUUUACAGGGACUCAAACUUUUCCAUCUUGUUCCAUCAAUAUAAACAAAGCAUGGUGGACUGUUUCAGCACUCCUAAGAUAAAGCUGAAGUGUGACUGUUGGUUAGUUGGUUGUUUUUAAUGUUUUUAUGGUUUAGGCCGUGUCCAUCUCCUGUAUUGAAGGACUGCAGCAGUGCCACUCUAAAUGGAAGUAAACUGCCUUUGGAAAGUAUCCCAUCAGGAGAAUGGUAAAAGAGAGAUGUGUGAGAGAUACAAAGUCUGCUGUAUAUAACUGAUUUCAAGGGAAACUGAGUCCUAGCAAGUGAAAGCUUUUACAGGUGGCCUGGAUGUGCUUAAUAUCUACUGUAUAUCCAGCUUUCAUGUUGAAUAUAAGGAAAAAUUUCUUCUCAGAGAGAGUGAUGAGGCAGUGGCAUGGGCUGCCCAGGGAGCUGAUGGAGUCACUGUUCCUGGAGAUGCUUAAGAAACUUGUGGAUGUGGCACUGAUAGGGUAUAGUGGGCUUGGGUUGGUGGUUGGACUGGUGAUCUUAGAGGUUUUUCUCAACCUUAAUGAUUCUGUGAUUCUACCAGAGGCUUUUUGUUCUGUUUUGAAACAGAAAAUAAAGGCAGGCUUGUGGAAAGAUG
ensembl:lncRNA